UACGUAGGGUCCGAGCGUUGUCCGGAAUUAUUGGGCGUAAAGGGCUCGUAGGCGGUCUGUUGCGUCGGGAGUGAAAACUUACAGCUUAACUGUGAGCGUGCUUUCGAUACGGGCAGACUAGAGUUCGGUAGGGGAGUCUGGAAUUCCUGGUGUAGCGGUGAAAUGCGCAGAUAUCAGGAGGAACACCGGUGGCGAAGGCGGGACUCUGGGCCGAUACUGACGCUGAGGAGCGAAAGCGUGGGGAGCAAACAGG
rnacentral:rRNA from 1 species